rnacentral:tRNA from 1 species
UCCCGUUUAGCUCAGUUGGUAGAGCGCGUCACUAGUAUUUGCUUGCGAGCAGGCUAUGACGAGGUCAGUCGUUCGAGUCGGCUAAUGGGAA